AUGAAAAUAUUGAGUUGGAACUAUCGAGGCUUGGGUCAACCUCGUACAUUUCAAGAGUUGGUGUGCCUCUCAAAGACGCACAGACCCAAUAUUAUAUUUUUAUCUGAAACAAGAAAGAAUAAAGAGCAUGUUGAGAGCUUGCGCUAUAGGUUGGGUAUGAAUAAUGUUUUCACUAUUUCUGGCCAUGGUAAAGGUGGUGGACUAGCUGUGUUUCGGGGAGAGGGAACAAAGUGGAGGUGCGCCUUCAUUUACGGUGAGCCUAAGGCGAGUCAAAGGUAUGUUAUGUGGGAUCUCUUGAGACAGAUUAAACCUCUUGGUGUUGGA
rnacentral:rRNA from 1 species